CUAAACUGGACCGAGCUCGCCUAAAUUUUUUCUGGUGAUGCGAUGAGAGUGGCCGUGUUAAUUUGCUGUUAUAUGCUUGUUGGCUAUGAACGUUCCAACGAUUCUCUCUAAUAGAAAGCUUUCUAAUUGGAUUUUGAGAAUCAAGGAGGCAUCAUCUAAUAGAAAAUUCCAUGAAGUGAUUUCACACUAUCUUGAACUAAAAAUUGCAGGAGCUCAACCAAUAGAUGAUUCUCUCUUUCCUCCCAUUCUCAAAGCAUUACCAUAUGUUUCCCCUAAGUAUGGAAGGUCUGUUCAUGCUUGCUUGAUCAAGCGAGGAUUUGAAUCAUUUACUUCCAUUGGGAAUUCCAUCAUGAGUUUUUACGUCAAGUGUGGAGAUUUGGAUACUGCAGUGAGCGUUUUUAAUUCCACGAAAAGCAGAGAUUCAGUUUCUUGGAAUAUUUUGAUUCAUGGGUUUCUUGAUCAUGGUGCCUUGGUUGAAGGGUUGUGGCAAUUCACUAGUGCUAGGGUUGCCGGGUUUGAACCCAAUAUUUCCACAUUGGUGCUUUUAAUUCAAGCAUGUCGUAAUCGUAGAGCGAAGCUUGAAGUGCUGCAAUUACAUGCUUACCUAAUUCAGAGUGGGCUUUGGGCCAUUUCUUCCAUUCAAAAUUCCUUGCUUUGCAUGUAUGCAGAUGAUGACAUGGAAUGUGCAAGAAAUAUGUUUGAUGAAAUGCGUGAGAAAGAUGCCAUCUCUUGGAGUGUGAUGAUUGGUGGUUAUGUGCAGAGACUGGAAGUUCAGACUGGGUUGCAGAUGUUUAAAGAGAUGGUAUCAAACCCUGCGAUUGAACCAGAUGGAGUGACCAUGGUCACUGUUCUUAAAGCCUGUGCCUAUUCAGUAAACAUAGAUAUGGGUAGAUUGGUGCACGGGGAUUUGAUUCGCAGAGGUUUAGAUAAUGAUUUGUUUGUCAAGAACUCUUUGAUUGAUAUGUAUUCUAAUUGCUAUGAUACUGAUUCUGCAUUUAAUGUUUUCAAUGAGAUGUCUAGGAAGAACAAUGUCUCAUGGAAUUCUAUGUUAUCUGGAUUAGUCCUUAAUAAGAAUUAUUCAGAAGCUCUAUCACUGAUUUGUUCAAUGCAAAAGGAGGGGACUGAGGCAGAUGAAGUGACUUUGGUGAAUAUUCUUCAAACCUGCAAGUACUUUGCUCACCCAUAUCAGUGCAAAGCAGUCCACUGCGUGAUAAUCCGUUGGGGAUGUGAAUCUAAUGAAUUACUGCUCAGUUCUCUCAUUGACGCUUAUGCAAAGUGCAACCUUAUUGAACUUGCAUGGGAAGUCUUUGUUGGGAUGAGGAGGAGAGAUGUGGUUGUAUGGAGCACAAUGAUUGCUGGGUUUGCACAUUGUGGUAUGCCUGACAAAGCAAUAAUGGUCUUCCAAGAGAUGAAUGAGGCAACAGAGAUUCCUAAUGCAGUGACCAUUAUAAAUCUUCUUGAGGUUUGUUCAGUUUCAGCUGAAUUGAUGAGGUCAAAGUGGGCACAUGGUGUUGCAAUUCGAAGAGGUUUAGAUGCAGAAGUGGUGGUUGGAACUGCAAUUGUUGUUAUGUACUCCAAAUGCGGGGAAAUAGACGCGUCAAGAAAGGCCUUCAAUCAAAUUCCACAGAAAAAUAUAGUAACAUGGAGUGCCAUGAUAGCUGCAUAUGGUAGGAAUGGUCUUGCAUGUGAAGCCUUGGCAUUGUUUAAUGAAAUGAAAUUGCAUGACGUCAAGCCAAAUGCUCUAACCAUUGUCUCAGUGCUUGCUGCUUGUAGUCACUGUGGAUUAGUUGAAGAGGGGCUUGCUUAUUUCAAAUCAAUGGUCGUAGACCAUGGGCUUGAACCGGUGUCUGAACAUUACUCGUGUGUGGUUGACCUGUUAGCUCGUGCAGGAAAUCUCGAUAGUGCAAUGGAAUUGAUCAAGAUGAUGCCUGAAAGUUCUAAGGCUGGUGCGAGUGUUUGGGGGGCACUACUGAGUGCUUGCAGAAACUAUGGGAACACUAAGCUUGGCAAAGGAGCUGUCUCUUGUGUUCUUGACCUGGGGCCUACGAACUCGGCUGGUUAUUUAUUGGCAUCAAGCAUGUAUGCUGCAGAUGGUUUGUGGGGUGAUGCAGCUAGGAUGAGAUUGUUAGCCAAGAAGAGAGGAGCAAGGGCUGUUGCUGGUUACAGCUUAAUAUGUCGAUAGCAAGGCGAGUAGGUCUGUUGCUGGAGACGAGUUUCACCCAGAAGCAGGUGAUAUGAGCCAUAGGCUACAUCAACUGCAUGAGAGGCUUGAUGAAAUAAAAAAGCAUGGUUUUUGUUGGAUACUAGCGUUUUGCACUUUGGAGAAAGAGUCUCUUUGGUACAGGGUGUGCAUAGUUAUUGGAGCUCCUGAACCGAAUUGAAGAAACAUAUUGAAUUGAAUAUAACCAUACCGACUUGAACUUAUUUUACUGUUUUGAUUCAAUUUUUUGGCUUUUGUUAAAAACCGACUUAGAACUGUAUCAGAUUCAUGUAGAACUAGAAUCAAAUUGACAAACUGAUUUUAUAUUUUUUUUUCUAUAAUUUUUUAAGAUUAUUAUAUACUUUAAUGUAAAUAUAUGUUUAUAUAGAUA
rnacentral:misc_RNA from 1 species